UACGGAGGGUGCAAGCGUUAUCCGGAUUCACUGGGUUUAAAGGGUGCGUAGGUGGGUUGGUAAGUCAGUGGUGAAAUCCCCGAGCUUAACUUGGGAACUGCCAUUGAUACUAUCAGUCUUGAAUACCGUGGAGGUUAGCGGAAUAUGUCAUGUAGCGGUGAAAUGCUUAGAUAUGACAUAGAACACCAAUUGCGAAGGCAGCUGGCUACACGAAUAUUGACCACUGAGGCACGAAAAGCGUGGGGAUCAAACAGG
rnacentral:rRNA from 1 species